rnacentral:lncRNA from 1 species
CUAUUGAAUAACAUUAAGUGUGUAAUAUAUUCACAUUAUGUACAAAGGGAGAUAACUGUUAUACUUUAGUAAAACUCUUGGAACUAUCCCACCAGAAUUUAAAACUUGUUUCACUUUUUUUGUAAUUAUGACUUUUCAACAAAAGCAUUUAUCAGUAGCGUCUUGGAAUAUUCAUGGUCUUGGGGAUAAAUACAUGGACCCUAGUUUUAUUGAAAAUAUUAAAUCUGAUAUAAAUGUAAUUCUUGAAACAUGGAAAGGAGAAAGUGCAGAUACACAAAUAAAUGGAUUUGUAUCAAUCUCAAAAUCUAGGAAAAAAAAUAAAAGGUCUAAGAGACAUAGCGGGGGCAUUAUAGUUUAUAUAAAAAAACAAAUAUAUCCAGGAAUAGAAUAUCUAAAGGAUGGCUCUCAGUCACCAAAUAGAAUGUGGCUUAAACUGAAUAAAACAUUUUUUGGGACAGGAACACAUAUAUAUCUCUGUGCAGGUGUACAUCCCCCCAUUAAAUUCAACACACACUGCAGAUGAUUUACUUAAUUUAGAGGCUGAGAUAGCAAAUUAUUCAAAAUAUGGGGAUAUAGCCCUAAUUGGGGACUUUAAUGCCAGAACUGGGGAACAAGCUGACUACAUUGAAAAUGAAAAUAAUAGUAGCCAAUUUUUACAGGAUAUGUUACCCCAAGACUAUGAUCUAGAUUCUCCUAUUAAAAGAAAUAAUUUAGAUAUUUUAAACCAACAAGGUAAUAAUUUACUGAACAUGUGUUUUAUCCUCAAGACUUAGGAUCUUAAAUGGUAGAUAUUUAGGAGAUUCGUUGGGUUAUCACACAUAUUUUUCUAAAAAUGGCUGUAGCACAGUUGACUAUGCAAUAUUGAGCAAGGAUCUCCUGCCCUCAGUAGAAUAUUUUUGUACCUCUGAUCUGAAUUUUUUAUCGGACCAUGUACAGAUCUCAUUUAAACUAAAAUGUGAUAUAAAACAAUAUAUAAAUAAAAAGGACUUUAAUAAUAAUAAUAUGAAAAAAUUCACAACAUACAGAUGGACUGAUGUGUCACAUGGUAAGAUGUAUGAAGCAUUAAACUCUGAUGAAGUGAAAAAUAAGAUUUUAAAUUUUGAAAUCACCCACUUUGUAAGAAAUGAAAAAGGCAUAAAUGAAGCUUCAAAAUCAUUAACAGAAAUUCUAGAUAAUGUAGCCUCUAAAACAUGUAUAAUAAAAGUUCCAAUAAAGCAAAAGAAAAGUAAAAUAAAAAAGAACCCUUGGUCAGACAAUGAAUUAAAAGAUUUAAAAAGUAAAAUCAAUAAUUUAGGUAAAAAACUAAAACAUAAACCAUUUGAUAGAAAUUUAAAACAGCAAUUUUUUGAAACUGCAAAAUAUUUAAAAAAAGCAAGUAAAAAGAAAAAAAUCCAAUAUCAACAACAAAUGAUUGAAAAACUAUCAAAUCUUCAAACUAAAGACCCUCAACAAUUUUGGAAACUACUUAAAUCUCUAAGAAAUAAUAUGAAUACCACAGAAAUUAAUAUGAAAUCAGAUAACCUAACAAACCAUUUUCAAAAGCAAGGUCUUUGGAACAAACCUUGCGACAAAGCAGAAGAUGAGAUAAACCUUUUUUUGAAAAACAAAGAGAGUGAAAAUAGAUUUAAUGAAAUAACUGAUAGCCCAAUAACUAUAUCAGAAGUAAAUAAAGUUAUAAAAUCCCUUAAAAUGAAAAAAUCCCCUGGACCAGACUCCAUUGUAAAUGAGGUGAUUAAAUAUUGUAGUCCAGUAACUAUUAAUUGCUACACAAAAUUAUAUAACCUUGUUCUUGGUUCAGGAUGUUCCCCUGAAACAUGGCAAUAUUCUCUAUUAGUGCCAAUAUUUAAGUCGGGAGAUUCCAAAGACCCAAAUAACUACAGAGGAAUAUCUCUUAUAAAUGGUAUUGCCAAAAUAUUUAGCUCAAUUUUAAAUAACAGAAUAAUUAAAUAUAUGGAAAACAAAUUUAGCCAGGAACAAUUUGGAUUUCUUCCUAAAUUAAGAACUACAGAUAGUCUAUUUGUAUUUAAAACUUUGAUUAAUAAAUAUUUAAAUUUAAAAAAGAAACCAUUAUAUAUUUGUUUUGUUGACUUACGUAAAGCAUUUGACUCCAUUUGGAGAACAGCUUUAUUAUAUAAAAUUUUGUCCCAGGGUAUCGGCAGUAAAAUGUAUCAAGUAAUAAAAAAUAUGUAUUCAACCACUAAAUCUUCAAUAAAGAUUAAUAAUAAACUCACUAACUGGUUUGAAGUAACUAGAGGGGUAAGACAAGGGGAUUCUUUAAGUCCCACCCUAUUCAAUAUUUUCAUAAAUGAUCUACCUCAAAUUUUUAAACAGGAUGACUGUGAUCCCUUGAAAAUAGAACAGACAAAUAUUGGAAGCCUCCUAUUUGCUGAUGAUAUUUUGAUAAUGUCUGAAACUAAAGAGGGUCUUCAGUCAAGUUUAAACCAUUUGUCUCAAUACUGUGAUAAAUGGCAGUUAACUGUAAAUUGUAAAAAAACUAAAACUAUGAUUUUAAGC